rnacentral:rRNA from 1 species
CAUUCACGGAGAGUUUGAUCCUGGCUCAGGACGAACGCUGGCGGCGUGCUUAACACAUGCAAGUCGAACGAUGAACCGCUUUCGGGCGGGGAUUAGUGGCGAACGGGUGAGUAACACGUGGGCAAUCUGCCCUGCACUCUGGGACAAGCCCUGGAAACGGGGUCUAAUA